UACGGGAGGUGCGAGCGUUGUUCGGAAUCACUGGGCGUAAAGAGCACGUAGGCGGGUCUGUAAGUCAUCUGUGAAAACCCUGGGCUCAACCCGGGACGUGCAGGUGAAACGGCAGAUCUUGAAUACCUAAGAGGGUGGGGGAAUUCCUGGUGGAGAAGUGAAAUUCGUAGAUAUCAGGAGGAACAUCGGAGGCGAAGGCGCCUGCCUGGUAGUGUAUUGACGCUGAGGUGCGAAAGUGCGGGGAGCAAACAGG
rnacentral:rRNA from 1 species